CGGGGUAUAAAGAGUUCGUGGGCUUUGCACGCUCUCACAGGGGCCGCGGGCGAGGGGCCAAGGAGGAAGCUCUAGCGUAGCUGGAGAGAAGUUGAAAUUACAGACAUCCUGCCAAAAUGAUCUCUUCAAAGCCCAGACUUGUCAUACCUUAUGGCCUCAAGACCCUGCUUGAGGGAGUUAGCAGAGCUAUUCUCAAAACCAAUCCAACAAAUGUCACCCAGUUUGCAGCAGUAUAUUUUAAAGAACUCAUUGUGUUUAGAGAAGGGAAUACGUCUCUGGAUAUAAAAGAUCUGAUUAAACAGUUUCAUCAGAUGAAAGUAGAGAAAUGGUCAGAAGGAGGGACACUGGAGAAGAGAGACUAUCCAAAAGAACCAGGAAGAGCACCUGCAUUCUUCUGUGAACCUACACAGAUGGAGAAAUCCACAGACACAGAGGAGGACGGUGUAGCUGGACCACUAUUUAGCAACAAAACCACCCAGUUUCCAUCAGUUCAUGCUGAAACCCUUCAGUCUAAGGAGACGACUGAAGGAGUUUGGGGUCCUUCUAAACCAACAAUGCCCAAGACUACCACCCCACCCUCAUCACCACCGUCAGCACCAGUCUCUGCAGAGUUUGCCUAUGUCCCGGCUGACCCAGCUCACUUUGCCGCUCAGAUGUUAGGUAAUGUUCCAUCUACUCAUUCUGACGUUUUAAUGGUGGAUGUAGCCACAAGUACACCUGCUGUCAUCAAGGAGGCACUGAGUGCAGAGAUUGCUGAAGAACUCUUGGUGUCUAUUCCUCUGGAGUGUUCUGGAGAGAUGAUAGCAGUGCAGGUUUUGAGCCAAACAUCUGCACAGGUAGUUGUGGGUCCUAAAUCUAAGGCUGAACCAUCAAAGGCUUCCUUAGCCCCCUUGCAGAGUGAACAAGAACCUCCUGUUUAUGAUCAAGCUCCUGAGGCCCCUUUGCAGGCUGAUACUCAGGUUACAACAGCCUUUCGUGUAUCAUCUAUAUAUAAUGAUACGCCCAUCAAUGAAGGAGUUGUCUAUGUUGAACAGAUACCAGAACACACAGUUAUCCCUGUUACUGAUCAAGUUGCUUGUCUUAAAGAAAAUGAGCAGUCACCACCAGUUAGUCCCAAACCUGUAGAACCCAAGACUUCCUCAGGCAUGUCUAAAAUAUCAAUAGAGUCUUUGAAAAUUAUACAGGUGGAGGAUUCCCAACAGCAAUCCUCAGCCCAUAUGGAGGCAGAAGCUACAGUUCUGCUCUCUAACAGUUCUUUAGAUGGUCAGCCCAAGGUAUCUACAGGACUCCUUGAUGCAGAGGGAUUUUUUCACUCUGAAAACUCUCUGCACCUUGAAAUGGAGAUUGUUACUAUAGACCCUGACAGUCCUGGGCAGGAGAAGUCAGGGGAGAACUCUGUACCCCAUUCAUCUGGUGACCCUUUCCCUCCUGCGCCAGGAGGCUUUACUGAACUUGAAAUCCAAGCAGAUGGGGAAGCUGCACCUGAACAGGUUUGAUGAAGUCAGCACUAGCAACAAGCGAAGCAGGACAACCACCACCACAUUCUAAUAUGUGGACACUUUAUUGUCUAAGUGAUAUGAAUCAACAAAGUUGCCCAUCACUGCCACCUGCACUUGGGCCUUUUCCCCAAGAAACCCUCUAUUUAUCUAAUCCUAAGGAUCCACAGUGUCUGCAGAAUCCACUGAAAGUUACUUCUCCAGCUUAUGUGAUGAUGGAUGAGAGCAACAAGACCAGUGCCCCACCUUUUAUUCUAGUAGGCUCAAACGUUCAGGAAACGCAGAAUUGGAAACCUCUUCCUGGACACGUUGUCUCACAGUCAGAUGCCUCGAAGAGAUAUGCUGCAGUACAAGUACCCAUUGCUGUUCCUGCAGAUCAGAAAUUCCAGAAACCUACCCUAAAUCCCCAGAAUACUAGUCCUACAAAUGGACAAGAUGGCCCCAGACCACAAAGCCCAGUUUUUCUUUCUGUUGCUUUCCCAGUAGAAGAUGUAGCUAAAAAAAGUUCAGGAUCUGGUGACAAACAUACUCCCCUUGGAAGUUAUGGUAUUGCUGGAGAGAUUACUGUGACUACUGCCCAUGCUUGCAGAGCAGAACCUUAAAAUAAUGUUGAAGGUGAUGGUAUUUGAGUCAGCAUUGAAAGUGAAGUCUGUCACCAAGCAAACUGGAUCAAUAAACUUCCUGCAAGCAUAAAACUUUGCAUUGGUGAUUAAUCAACUUAGGAAGUUUACCAAACAUUAAUAACACCUUCCAGCUCUUUCAUGUACACUUUCCAGUCAGGUAUUCAUGCACUAAAAACGGCAUCCUGCUGCUCCAUUGUUAUCACCCAUAACUGCCCAGUAGGUAUGCUAGGUAGCAGCUUCUUUCUCAGGCCCUGAGGAUAGCAUAAUUUAGGAUAGUGUUAUGUGGCAACAUUAGUAUAACUGACAGUUCACACUUCUUGGAAUAUUCUAAAGGCUUUAUUUAGUAUCAGGUAGAUUAUUUCAUUAUAAUACUUGUUAACGUCAAGACAAAAUAAUUUACCAGAAGCUACCUACAGCCCCUUGGGCCAAUAUCGGUCUGGGGAUUGGUUGGAUAAAUGCUAUGAGAUUAAUGUACCCCAAUUAAAGGGGCAAAGCUACUGUACAGUAGGUCUCCAUACAUAUUUUAAGUACACAGGUACCUUGCAAAUUCAAAAUGCACAAGACCUCCUUUUAUAUAGUUUGAUACGUAUAAUACAUGACUGCAGCUUAGUAUCUGUGGCACUGGCCACUGGAAUUGAAGCUUAAAGGUUGGUCAUUAAUGAUACUGAUUAAAAUCUAUUUCUAGGGUAUUUUUGUAAGUUGCUAAAUUUUAUACAUAUUUUCAGUUCAAACAUACAAUUUCACCCUUUAAACUAAUGACAAUGAUCACAGAAAAUUGUAAAA